rnacentral:rRNA from 1 species
GACGAACGCGGCGGCGUGCCUAAUACAUGCAAGUAGAACGCUGAAGGAGGAGCUUGCUUCUCUGGAUGAGUUGCGAACGGGUGAGUAACGCGUAGGUAACCUGCCUGGUAGCGGGGGAUAACUAUUGGAAACGAUAGCUAAUACCGCAUAAGAGUAGAUGUUGCAUGACAUUUGCUUAAAAGGUGCAAUUGCAUCACUACCAGAUGGACCUGCGUUGUAUUAGCUAGUUGGUGAGGUAACGGCUCACCAAGGCGACGAUACAUAGCCGACCUGAGAGGGUGAUCGGCCACACUGGGACUGAGACACGGCCCAGACUCCUACGGGAGGCAGCAGUAGGGAAUCUUCGGCAAUGGACGGAAGUCUGACCGAGCAACGCCGCGUGAGUGAAGAAGGUUUUCGGAUCGUAAAGCUCUGUUGUAAGAGAAGAACGAGUGUGAGAGUGGAAAGUUCACACUGUGACGGUAUCUACCAGAAAAGACGG